rnacentral:rRNA from 1 species
AACGAACGCUGGCGGCAUGCCUAACACAUGCAAGUCGAACGAGACCUUCGGGUCUAGUGGCGCACGGGUGCGUAACGCGUGGGAACCUGCCCUUAGGUUCGGAAUAACUCCCCGACAGGGGUGCUAAUACCGGAUAAUGUCUUCGGACCAAAGAUUUAUCGCCUUUGGAUGGGCCCGCGUUGGAUUAGCUAGUUGGUAGGGUAAAAGCCUACCAAGGCGACGAUCCAUAGCUGGUCUGAGAGGAUGAUCAGCCACACUGGGACUGGGACACGGCCCAGACUCCUACGGGAGGCAGCAGUGGGGAAUAGUGGACAAUGGGCGAAAGCCUGAUCCAGCAAUGCCGCGUGAGUGAUGAAGGCCUUAGGGUUGUAAAGCUCUUUUACCCGGGAUGAUAAUGACAGUACCGGGAGAAUAAGUUACGGCUAACUCCGUG